rnacentral:misc_RNA from 1 species
ACCUCUCAACCCCGCCCGAUCUUUGCUGAUCUGGGUUGCCUGGGCUUGGAUCAUGGUCUUUACAAAAUGCCGGCUGUCUUCGGAACCGGCUGGACUGAAAUACAACAAGCUGGAUCAGAACGUUCUUGCGGCUUGACCUGACGUUGUAAAAAAUCAACUCGUUGGGGACGCAACGUUGUGAAUGAGCUUCUGCAAAUAAUUUACUGUUGAUUCAGUC